rnacentral:lncRNA from 1 species
UGAUCUUCCAAAGAACUGUUGGCUGUUUUUUCAUGAGGAAAGAAAGAAGAUGAGCUGAGCAGAGUGGUGGGACCAAGUACUGCAAGGUCAACCUGAGCUUUUUAUCCAUCUCCUUACCCUUGGCAGCUGAGAAGACCACCAGGCUGAACAGCCCCCUAAUUACUGUGAUGGCAUUGCCUUGAUUUUGUACUGCAACAUGGCUGUGAUUUGGAGCUUGUCAGCUGAAACUGCUCCACAGAACUGUUGCUCUUUAUCUGGGCUGAGCAAUCAACUUGACAGAGUAUGUGUUUUGCCUGUUUCCCUUGAGCUGGAACUUCAGUACCUGAGAGAACUUGGCCGCAUGUGUGAUUUUUCUGGAAUUCACAGAGUCAUGGAUGAAACGUUACUGAUUCGGAACAGAGACCUGUGGAAUGCCAUGAGCAGCACCAGGGCAGCACUGGGGCCAUGGCCACCCCCCACCCAAUGGUAUGUUUGGUUGUUAUGGGACAUUUGUAGGGUCACUGUGCCACAGCUCUGUGAUCUCACGAGCCACCUCCCUCC